UCACCACGGAGUGAUUCAUGACUGGGGUGAAGUCGUAACAAGGUAGCCCUAGGGGAACCUGGGGCUGGAUCACCUCCUUAUACGA
rnacentral:rRNA from 1 species